rnacentral:tRNA from 1 species
GGUGAGGUGGCCGAGUGGUUGAAGGCGCACGCUUGGAAAGCGUGUUGGGUGAAAGCUCACGCAGGUUCGAAUCCUGUCCUCACCG